rnacentral:rRNA from 1 species
UACGGAGGAUCCAAGCGUUAUCCGGAAUUACUGGGCGUAAAGAGUUGCGUAGGUGGCAUAGAAAGCGAGUAGUGAAAGCGUUCGGCUCAACCGAAUAUACAUUAUUCGAACUACUAAGCUAGAGAGUGAGAGAGGUAGCUGGAAUUCCUAGUGUAGGGGUAAUAUCCGUUGAUAUUAGGAGGAACACCGAUGGCGUAAGCAGGCUACUGGCUCAUUUCUGACACUCAGGCACGAAAGCGUGGGGAGCAAACGGG